rnacentral:rRNA from 1 species
GACAGAGGGUGCAAACGUUGUUCGGAUUUACUGGGCGUAAAGCGCGUGUAGGCGGCUUUGCAAGUCGGAUGUGAAAUCCCACGGCUCAACCGUGGAAGUGCAUCCGAAACUGCAUCGCUCGAGUCUCGGAGAGGAAGGUGGAAUGCUUGGUGUAGAGGUGAAAUUCGUAGAUAUCAAGCAGAACACCUGCGGCGAAGGCGGCCUUCUGGACGAUGACUGACGCUGAGACGCGAAGCGUGGGGAGCAAACAGG